GACGAACGCUGGCGGCGUGCUUAACACAUGCAAGUCGAACGGAAAGGCCCUGCUUUUGUGGGGUGCUCGAGUGGCGAACGGGUGAGUAACACGUGAGUAACCUGCCCUUGACUUUGGGAUAACUUCAGGAAACUGGGGCUAAUACCGGAUAGGAGCUCCUGCUGCAUGGUGGGGGUUGGAAAGUUUCGGCGGUUGGGGAUGGACUCGCGGCUUAUCAGCUUGUUGGUGGGGUAGUGGCUUACCAAGGCUUUGACGGGUAGCCGGCCUGAGAGGGUGACCGGCCACAUUGGGACUGAGAUACGGCCCAGACUCCUACGGGAGGCAGCAGUGCGGAAUAUUGCACAAUGGGCGGAAGCCUGCUGCAGCAACGCCGCGUGCGGGAUGACGGCCUUCGGGUUGUAAACCGCUUUCGCCUGUGACGAAGCGUGAGUGACGGUAAUGGGUAAAGAAGCACCGGCUAACUACGUG
rnacentral:rRNA from 1 species